rnacentral:rRNA from 1 species
AGCAGCCGCGGUAAUUCCAGCUCCAAUAGCGUAUAUUAAAGUUGUUGCAGUUAAAAAGCUCGUAGUUGAAUUUUGGGUUUGGCCGAUUGGUCCGUUCUUGUAACGAGUACUGGUCGGUUGGGCCUCACCGCUUGGUGAUGCGGAAUGUCCUUUAUUGGGUGUUGCGAGUAGCCAAGACCUUUACCUUGAAAAAUUAGAGUGUUUAAAGCAGGCUUAUGCCAGAAUACAUUAGCAUGGAAUAAUAGAAUAGGACGAUUUAUCUAUUUUGUUGGUUUCUAGGAAAAUCGUAAUGAUUAAUAGGGAUAGUUGGGGGCAUUAGUAUUCAAUUGUCAGAGGUGAAAUUCUUGGAUUUAUUGAAGACUAACUACUGCGAAAGCAUUUGCCAAGGAUGUUUUCAUCAAUCAAGAACGAAAGUUAGGGGAUCGAAGACGAUCAGAUACCGUCGUAGUC